GACGAACGCUGGCGGCGUGCUUAACACAUGCAAGUCGAACGGAAAGGCCCUGCUUUUGUGGGGUGCUCGAGUGGCGAACGGGUGAGUAACACGUGAGUAACCUGCCCUUGACUUUGGGAUAACUUCAGGAAACUGGGGCUAAUACCGGAUAGGAGCUCCUGCUCCAUGGUGGGGGUUGGAAAGUUUCGGCGGUUGGGGAUGGACUGGCGGCUUAUCAGCUUGUUGGUGGGGUAGUGGCUUACCAAGGCUUUGACGGGUAGCCGGCCUGAGAGGGUGACCGGCGACAUUGGGACUGAGAGACGGCCCAGACUCGUACGGGAGGCAGCAGUGGGGAAUCUUGCACAAUGGGCGGAAGCCUGAUGCAGCAACGCCGCGUGCGGGAUGACGGCCUUCGGGUUGUAAACCGCUUUCGCCUGAGACGAAGCGUGAGUGACGGUAAUGGGUAAAGAAGCACCGGCUAACUACGUG
rnacentral:rRNA from 1 species